rnacentral:rRNA from 1 species
CUCGUAGGUGGCCGCCUCAGUCCGACGUGAAAUCCCUCGGCUCAACCGGGGAACUGCGUCGGAUACUGGGUGGCUUGAAUCCGGGAGAGGGACGUGGAAUUCCAGGUGUAGCGGUGAAAUGCGUAGAUAUCUGGAGGAACACCGGUGGCGAAGGCGGCGUCCUGGACCGGUAUUGACACUGAGGAGCGAAAGCCAGGGGAGCAAACG